rnacentral:lncRNA from 1 species
AUGAGACUUAAUUGUAAAGUUUGUUGUUGUAGUUUAGUUUUAUAUAUUGUGAAAAACCUUUUCCCUGGUAUUAUUUCUGUUUUAUUUAAUGUUUGCUGUAUUUCUGUAAUUCUAAAUAAAAAUCAAUCUAUAAAAAAGAAAGGGGUUCAAAGGACUUAUCAGCAAGCUAGAUGUUCUACAGUUGGCUCUCCAUCUCUCCUCUCAACCACACUAGGCAAAGUUAAAGGUUUUCCCCUGACAUUAAAUCUAGCUGUGUCCGACUCUACGGGUUGGUGCUCAUUUCCAUUUCUAAGCCAAAGAAGUGGUGUUGUCUGUAGACACCUCCAAGGUUAUGGGGCCGGCAUGACUGCAUGGAGCGCCGUUACCUUCCCACCAAAGUGAUACCUACUGAUCUACUCAUAUUUGCAUAUCUUCAAAUUGCUAGGUUGGCAGAAGCUGGGGCUAACUUCAGGAGCUCACGGCGCUCCACAGAUUCAAACCGCUGACAUUUCAGUCAGCAAGUUCAGCAGCUCAGUGGUUUAAUCUGCUGCGCCACCAUGGGCACACUAAGAGAAGCAAAAAAAAAAAAAAAAGGAAAGAAAGGAAUGGAGGGAGGAAGAGGGGAGAGAAGCAUUUGGAUAAGUUAUUUCCCCUCCCAACUCCAAGUCUUUAAGAGAUUUCAACAAUAGUUUCUGAGUUAACAACUGGAAAUCUUUUUCCUUUGGGUAAUAAUAUGAAUGUAGUAUAUAGAAAGUAGCAUGAACAUAAUAUGAACACUGCAAUCUUUAUAUCUUGUUUUCAUAUAACGGUCACUUUUGCUGAAUAGCAAGACAAAAAAAUAAACACCAGAAAAAAUGUCCCAUGAGACAUUGGUUCCUGACACUGCAAAAUCAAUACUCACUUUCUGUAAACAUGAAACAUUUAAGUAAAAGAUAUAAUGGUUUCUGGUCUCUAUCCACAUGCCUCUCACAAAAAUUCUGUUAUUUAUAAAAGAUUCUUGCACAUCAUUCAAAAGAACCUGAUCUGCCACAUAAUUUGAGUUCCAUUCAUUGGGGAAUUAAAGCAUUCUUAUUUGGUAACAGUCUGGAUUGACAUCUUUCUUUCUCUAUCACUUUCUUUUCCCAUAAAUUAGCUCUCUUUUCCUAAUGCUUUGCUAAUGUGGAAAUAAGAGGUUCAUGAAUUUUCUCUUUGCAAUUAUUUUAUGAUCCCAAUCUAAGGAUAGGGACUGCAUAUUGAUUCUCAUCAUCCUCCACUCGUAGCUAUGCUGUCCAGAGAAUGGGACUCACAAUCCAACAACAUCUGGAAGGCCACACCAAAGGACCAUACUUUUUCUAGAACAACAGGGGUUAGCAUUACUAUUAUCAUUUUGAGGCUGUGAUUCUACCUGGGGAGAGUACAGUCACAAGCAGAUAUCAAUGGCAAUCAAGCAAAAAUUAAUUUUUUUGUUAAUGCUUUCAUCUAGAGACAUUUUGAUGCAUGCUAGAAUGAUAUUUUGACAAAGGGAUGUCAAACUCAUUUUCACUACACUUCUUUGACGUGAAGUGAAGUGAAACUCAUUUUCACCAAGGGUCACAUCACCUUUAUAGUUGCUUCCAAAGUCCAUUUGUAAUUGUAAGUGUAUAAAUCACCAGAUAUGGAUUUGGACUGUGUGACAGAAUAUUUGCCAUAUACUGUACUAUAUUUCAUCUACUGUAAGAUGCCAUCAGUUGUAAGAUACAGAUUGAUUUCUGAGGUUCAGUUUUUGAGAUAUGGAUAUUUUUGAUUCUGUGAUGCACCCUUUAUUUGAGCCUUGAUUUUUGUCUCGCUUCCCAGCUGUCCUCCUUGCCUCUGCAACCCAGUGCUGCUGCCACCUCCCCAAUCUCCACAUCAUUUGUGCUGCCCCGGCUCAGCAUGCAGGGCAUCUCUGCUUUGAGCUGCUGUUGCUGGUCUGGACAAUGCCAUUGCCCCAGUGUUGCCGGGUUUGCCUUUAAAACAGAGGAUCGGGGGCAGUGGUAGAGAGAGAGGGAGCUGCAUGAUCUUUCUCUGCUGAAGGGCCUGGACUCAAGAUCUGGCUUCUCUCUCUUUCUUGAGGUGGGAGAUGGGAGGAAGAAACCCUGUAUGCCAGUAGCAAUGGAGUCCCACUACCUCGCACUCCUGUCACACAGGAUUUCCUUUCGCUCAUAGCCACUGCCACCUCCAGAGAAAGAGAGACCACUUAACUCCUAGUCUUUCCACCACUGUGACUGGCACCCUCAAUUCUCUCCCUUUAAGGCAAACCUGGCAACACUGGGGUGAUGGCAGUAAACAGUUUGGAGCAGAGACGCUCCAUAUGGUAGGCUGGCAGUGGCAUGAGAGAUGGGAGGAUUGAGGAGGCAAUGGCAGCAUUGGACACCAGAGCAGGGGGUCUGGCCAGGACAUCUGGUUUCUCUCCUUCUCUCAGCUGCUGUUCCUGAUCCUCCUUUUUUUUUAAGACAAAACCCUGUGAUGCUAGGAUGCCGUUAUUUCUAAGACAUGUCUCUUUUUUUAACAUCCUUUUUUUGGAAAGAAAAUUGUAUCGGAAUCAGUGAAAUAUGGUAGUACAUUAUAUGCUGGAAACAUCUUUUUGAAAUCAUUACUCCCUACUUGUAAUUUGAGUUUUCUAAUGUGUAAUUUACACCUAUAUCUGCAUUGCCUAUAUCUGUAUCUAUCCCAUGGAGUAGCAUUCAAUUAUGCGACCAUCCAACUUUAAUCUGAAGUGAUACAGCCAAAGAAUUGUUCCACAGUUUGAGAAUGAAAUUCAACUUUAAAUUCUAAAAAAUUCUGUUUCCUUUUUGCAUGGUUUAAUCCUCCUCCUUUUUAAAUGUUCAACAAAAUGCUGAAACAAUGCCCAUUUCUGUCUCUGAAAAAUGUGGACUGUAAAACAUCAACACCUGAAAAGUCAGCUCCUUGGAAUUUAUUUUCCCCAUGUCAAUGUGAAUCUACUCUAAAUUCUCCAUGAUUGCUUUGUUUACAACAUGAGCUAUUGCUUUAGAUAAAUAUAGGCAUUGUCUGAAAGUUCCUGUUGUAAUAUCAGUAGUGUUUCUGCAAUGCUAGAAAUGUGUAUUAACCUUUACACUCUUAUUUGUUGUGUUCAAAAUGGUUUUUGUAAGAUGUAGCAACCCAAUGUGGAUGAGAACAAUUUAAAACAAGAACAGAGGAAGCGUUAAUCAAACACUUCAGUUGGUCAUUGCACCACUCUAUACAACUGUGGAUUUUUCUUUCUUCCUUUCUCUUAAGAACGUAGGUGAGUGCUUGCAACAUCUUGCAAAUAAACUCACAGUCUUUUCACUUUAAGAGACAAUAGAUCUUGAAGAAUCUUAUUGUCUUUUUGUGGAGAGAAAAAUGUGCAGCCAGUUACAGAAAGCUAUAAACAGUCCAUAAACAAGUGUAUAUAGUAAUUCUAAACAGAAGAUUAAACAAAGCAUUUCACUUUCUAAGCACUUAUCUAUACAUUUUGCCCAAAGUAAUCCCUGAAGGAGACAUCAAGGCCAUAAAUAACUUUGUCCCACUGAAGUCCAGCUGACUAAUGACCAGAUAGUAAUAUUCAUUGUAUCAGGAAGAAAAAAUGCCCAAUUGUC